rnacentral:lncRNA from 1 species
UGGGGGCUUAUUUGGCCUCCCCAGGAUGGACUGGAGCAUCAGUAGUGCCCGGGUUUAUCACAGGACAGAUACUCAAGACACUCUUAUCACCAUUAGGUGGACUUGGAGGAGCAAAAAACAAGUGCAGUGGCUCCUCAGCAGAGACACUCCUGAAUGUAUAGACAUGGGAACCACCUUCAGCAUCAAAAAAGGAAACGUUCUGCAUGCCCAUAUCCAGAAAAAUCCCCACUCGCUGUAACUUGCGGUCUACGAAGAGGAAAGUCAGCGGCACCGUGCUGGCAGAGAGGCGGCUUCCAUCCCUCAAACUCACAGUCCAGAAUCCACGCUCUGUGGUCAGAUGGAUCCUCCCUUUGCGGUGAACAGAUUCUCUGCAGACUCCCAGGUCCCAUUCUGUGCUUGUUCCCACGUCCACCUCCCAGUAGUGGCGGCCACAGGUAAAGCGAGGGGAGCCCAGGAUGCAAAUGGACACGUCAAAUCUCUCGGCAAGGUCUUGCCGAUUCUGUGUGAUGCACCCACUUCGGACGCUCCUGAGGUCGUCAGAAAUGAGGAGGAAGUUGUUGGCUGUGUCGGCAUCCAAGGUCAUAUCCACUGUGAAAAGGAAAAAAAGUUGAUCAGAAAAUGGACAGAAGCCAACCCCAUGCCUCUCCUCUACUUCAAAGGCCCAAAUAUCUCUUGACUUUGGUUUCUUUAAUUCUCUUCUUCCCCCAAAAUCAAAACUUUUCAUGAGGCAACUUCCCUGACUAGUUCAAAUUCUCAUAGGUAUGCUUUGUGGCAAUACCCAACUCUUAUUCACAGUAGCAAUUAUUUUACUUUAUGUCACGUGUUUGCUUCAUUGGACUUUUCUUCAUUUAGAGUGGAGGGUCUCUGAAGGCAGACACCAUGACCCCCUUUCUACCACCUUGAUGCAUGAAAAAAUGAAUGAUAAUUAAGACAAUGCAAAUGGUCGAUGUUAAAUAUGUUUCUGCUUCCAUCUUGUAUUGCUCAACUCAGUAUAUAGAGCAUGAUUCCAGGCCUUUGUUUUCCAUGUUUGUAAGCAAAUUAAUUGUGCAUGGUUCUGACAGCAGGUAGGGUAUCUCUGCAGCUGACAAUGUGAUGACAGAGGUGCCGGUCCUGGACAUUAGGAGGCUCCAAGGCCAGGAGGAAGAGGGGGGCCUUAGAUGAAAGAAUGUUUUCCAUCCUACAUGGGAGGUGAAACCUUAAGCAAAACAAUGGUAAAUUUUGGAGUGAAGAGAAAGGUAUUUGAAAGUUGUUUGUUGGCUGAGCGCGGUGGCUCACACCUGUAAUCCCAGCACUUUGGGAGGCCGAGACGGGUGGAUCACGAGGUCAGGAGAUCGAGACCAUCCUGGCUAACACGUGAAACCCUGUCUCUACUAAAAAACAUACAAAAAAAUUAGCCGGACAUGGUGGCGGGUGCCUGUAGUCCUAGCUACUCGGUAGACUGAGGCAGGAGAAUGGCAUGAACCCAGGAGGCGGAGCUUGCAAUGAGCAGAGAUCAUGCCACUGCACCUCCAGCCUAGGCGGCAGAGCGAGACUCCAUCUCAAAAAAUAAAAAAAAAAAGAAAGUUGUUCGUCAUAACUGACUGAUCGUAGAGAAUAAGGGCAGUAAAUACAAAGGUCAAUAAUUUAAUGCAUUGGGUAUGUGGUUGAUAGGUGAAGCUGCCAAUUCUCAUGGAGGAGGCAGUGUGAUCUGGCCUAAAGAAAAUUAAUUGUCCAGAGCAUUCUGAAAAAAAAAUCUACAGAACAUAUGAUCCUUCAAGUCAAAAAACUGAUGAUCACCAAUAUAGAUUUUAUAGAUUACAGUAAGACUUGAGGAGACUGAUUGCUGUUUGAUGGUGAAUUAGGGAAUGAAAUGAGAUGAGUGGACAUGGACAAGGAAGGAGGAAGAGGGUUCCAAACAUGACUUAGGCAGGGUGAAUCUGUCCUCCAUAUUUCAGCAGAGACACAGUCAGGUAUGGGUAGGUGGAUGAGUAGAGAUCAUGGGUGUCAGGGCAGAAGCCACCACCAUUUAUAGGUGUAAUUCUUUGCCCAGGCUGACCAUAACCUCUUCAUUUAAAUGUCCCUAUUCCCCAGAGUUAUGGAGAGUGAUAGUAUUUUCUGUAGCCAGGACCCCUGUUGAAGUCCAUGGCACACCGAUGAGGAGACCAGCGUCUGCAACUCGCCCCACUCACAGAAACAAACACCAUAGGUGCUCCAUUCCAAACUCUUCCCAACCCUGGGGUGAGGUUGUUUGGUACAGUGGGUGCCAAUACUCACUGUGCAUUAGAAUUACCAGGCCCAUUUAAAUGUCAGAGUCCUGGGAACCUUUGCUAGAGAGAAAUUCAAAUUAAGUUGCUCUGUGUUUUUGCUACUCAGCAAAGUCCCCAAGCCAGCGGGAUCAAUCCUGAGACUUCCCAGUUCAGCAUCUGCAUUUUAACAAGAUCCCCAGGUAAUCUGAGCACACUAAGUUUAGAGAAUCCCUUGUCUAACCCAUGACAUAGACAUCAGGUUUUUUUUUUUGAGACGGAGUCUCACUCUGUCACCCAGGCUGGAGUGCAGUGGUGCAAUCUUGGCUCACUGCAAGCUCCGCCCCCCCCAGGUUAACGCCAUUCUCCUGCCUCAACCCCCAAGUAGCUGGGACUACAGGCACCCACCACCAAGCCUGGCUAAUUUUUUGUAUUUUUAGUAGAGACAGGGUUUCACCGUGUUAUCCAGGAUGGUCCCGAUCUCCUGACCUCGUGAUCCACCCGCCUCGGCCUCCCAAAGUGCUGACAUUACAGGCAUGAGCCACCAUGCCCAGCCAGCCUUUUUUUUGGAGAUCACCAGGUGAUUCUGUAUGUUGUCAGGGCUGAGAAUCUGAUGAUGAAGAAGCAUCUCAAUUUUAGGUGCCAGACAGCAGCUAAUCCCCAUAUGGAAUGAGGGGCCAGUUGCACAGAUGAUUUUUCCUGGUCUGGUCGUAGGAAGGGGGCAGUGUAUACAGAUCCCUCACCUUGGAACUUCCGCAUCCUUGGGUUCAUCUGCAGAAUCUUCUUCAGCUUGGGCUCCAGUUCCUUGAUGUGGGAAGCCAGCCUCUCUAGCUGCCAACUGGGCCUGAUUUUGUUCUUCUGAGAGACCAUGGAACAGCAACAGCAAAGUAGAUCCUCCCCAUGGGGCUCCUUCUGCAGUGAAUUGAUGCACUUGAAGCAGACAGCGCAUCCACACUCCAGGGACAUUGGUUUCUCUAGAUAGUCUGAGCAGACGGGACAGCUGCUUGCUUCUUGGAAGAGUGCAGCCAUGUCCACUGCCAGGGGAAAAGUGCACAAGGGAAGAAAAUUUCCGUGAGGUGAAAGCCUGUUAGUUGUGACAAGUGACAACCUUUUCAUGCAUAAAGGUAUUGUGUCCCAGCUUUGUCACUUCUAGAACAAGACCAUGAGUACAAACACUCAAGCACAUCCCCCCACCCCCCGUCUUCAGAGAUUUGAAGUUCUAUUGGGAAAGAAAGUCACGAAUCAUCACUGUGCUCUGAACUGAGGUGGAGGAAGGGUCCAUUCUACUGGUGACCCAGCAACUGAGCCUGAGCCAGUGACACGGCAGCACCCAUGUGAGGAACAGCGAGCUGGGGUCAUUUCACCUCCUCCUAGGGGAACCCCAGCAAGAGAUUGAUUGAUGAACAUAAGAAUUAGGGGCUGGGAGGCCGGGCGUGGUGGCUCAGGCCUAUAAUCCCAGCACUUUGGGAGGCUGACGUGAGUGGAUCAUCUGAGGUCGUCAAAAGUUCGAGACCAGCCUGAUGGGUGAAACCCCAUCUCUACUGAAAAUACAAAAGAAUUAGCCAGGCGUGGUGGCACACGCCUGUAAUCCCAGAUACUUGGGAGGCUGAGGCAGGAGAAUUGCUUGAACCUGGGAGGCAAAGGUUGCAGUGAGCCAAGAUCCAGCCAUUGCACUCCGGCCUGGACAACAGAGUGAGACACCAUCUCAAAAAAAAAAAAAAAAAAAAAGAGAGGGACUGGAUGCAGUAGCUCACAUCUGUAAUCCCAGCACUUUGCGAGGCCAAGGCUGGAAGAUCCCUUGAGCCAAGGAGUUUGAGAUCAGCCUGGGCAACACAGGAAGACCCCCUCUCUACAAAUAAUAGAAAAAUUAGCAGUGAGCAGAGAUCACACCAGGUCACUCCAACCUGGACAACAGAGUUAAGACCCUGUCUCACCAAAAAAAAAAAAAAAAAAAUCACAUCCUUCUCCAGCCUUGGAAAUGAAUACCAAAUUGACUGCCACCACUCCUAGACUGGAGAUCUGGGGAUCCAGGGUGACUGGUUUUCAACUCUGAGGCAGCACUCAGACAGCCUUUGUUGAAUUCAUUAAUUACGAAUUUCUCUCAUUCAUCCCCCAAGGCAUAACCCCCAUUUCUAGGCAUCUAAGGAGGAAAAACACACACACAGGCAUGGGCUCACCUCUUCUGCUGGAAGCUCCUCUGUCCUCCAGCUGCUUCCACUGGGCGCUCAGGUCUUGUGCGGAAGGGGCACAUGAGGGCGUUUUAUUGGUGAGAUUCCCACCUCCCACUGGGUCAUGCCCUUCCACACCCUCUAACCUAAUGAGGCUUUGAUUUAAUUAUAACAGGGAAUUAGGUUUUUACUGGUGAUAUAUCUCCAGUUAAUUGUAACUUUAGUAAAUCCUUCAUCCUGACAGUGUAUUUUUCUUUCAUAUGAAGAUAAGAUUAAAUUGCCUUUAUAUUAAAUUAGGCUUAAUGUACUAACUUCAAAAGCUUAUUUUAGAGAUGUUUCCAUCAGUUGUCAGUAAAGAUAAUUCCUGUAAUAUGUUGUAGGCUUCAAGCUUUGCUUGGAAACCUGAAGUAUUAAGUAUGAUUGGAUUUGCAAUUUUACAAAAUGGUUUAAAUUCAUAUACAUCAGACUCAAAGGUAAUAGGGGCAUGCAUUCCAUUGAGGAAAUUCUAGGGAAUUUUUAUUUAUUUUCAUUGGUUUAUUUCUGGUUUUGAAAAAAUUUCAUAAUUCAUAGGAAAAAAUUGGAUAAUUACUAUUUUGACAAAUGACCAUUAAGCUUCUUGGACCUUGAGUACUUCACACAGUGUUAAGAUAAAAGUCACAAUUUAAAAAAAAAAGAUGAUUUUCUUGUGAAACUUGUGUUCUCAAAUAAAAAUUGUUACCCGUGAAG